UACGUAGGGUGCAAGCGUUGUCCGGAAUUAUUGGGCGUAAAGAGCUCGUAGGCGGUCUGUUGCGUCGGGAGUGAAAACUUACAGCUUAACUGUGAGCGUGCUUUCGAUACGGGCAGACUUGAGGCAUUCAGGGGAGAACGGAAUUCCUGGUGUAGCGGUGAAAUGCGCAGAUAUCAGGAGGAACACCGGUGGCGAAGGCGGUUCUCUGGGAAUGUUCUGACGCUGAGGAGCGAAAGUGUGGGGAGCGAACAGG
rnacentral:rRNA from 1 species